rnacentral:ncRNA from 1 species
UUAAAGUUUUAAUUUAACUUAAAAAUUAGGUUAAUUUUUUAUUUACAUGUAAAUUUAAGUAAAUUUUAUUAAUAAUUUAGAUAAAAAUUAAUAAAAAUAUGAUAUUCUCAGUAAAUAGUUUUAAAUUUCAAAGUAAUUUGGAUUUAGGAAUAAAUUUUAAUAUUAACAAAAUUUGUGCCAGCAGUUGCGGUUAUACAAAUAAUAUAAUUUAAUUUAUUUAGUUACAAUUAAUUUUUAAUAAAAGAAAUUUUAAUUAAAAAUUUAUUAGGUGAAAUUUUAAAUUUUUAAUAAAAUUUAUUUAUGUUAAUAAUUUUGAUAAAUUUAAUUUAUAAACUAGGAUUAGAUACCCUAUUAUUUUAAACGUAAAUUUUUAUACUAGAUUAGUAAUAGUUAUAUUCUUGAAAAUUAAAAAUUUUGGCAGUAUUUUAGUCUAUUCAGAGGAACCUGUUCUUUAAUCGAUAGUCCACGAUUUAUUAAACUUUUUUUAUUAGUUUGUAUAUCGUCGUAAUUUUGAAUAUUUUAAAAGAAUUAUAAUAUUCAUAAAUUAUUUAUUAAAAAAAAUCAGAUCAAGGUGCAGUUUAUAAAAAAGUAGAAAUGGGUUACAUUAAAUUUAUUUAAGGAUAUUUUUUUGAAAUAUAAAAUUGAAUUUGGAUUUGAAAGUAAUUUUAAUUAAAUUAUUAAAAUGAUUUUAGCUCUAAAAUAUGUACAUAUUGCCCGUCGCUUUCAUUAUAAAAUGAAAUAAGUCGUAACAAAGUAGGCUUACUGGAAAGUGGGCCUAGAAUG